CUUGGGGGAAGGGUACUUGACAGAUAUCGCAGCUCCUUAUCACCUGAAAGUGCCGAGGCAUUGAUAACAACUCGUGAUUGGAUAUAUGGAAUCGGAGCUGCAUCAACUGAUGUUGAGGAAGUGAAAGAUAAUGAUAUUAGUGAGGAUGUAUUGGCAUUUGAGCCAGCAAACAACAAUGAGGCAAUUCAUACUGGAGCAUCUUGAAGUGAUACACUUCUAGAC